UGCACUUAUAGAUGAAAAGAUACUUUGCAUGCAUGGUGGAAUUUCGCCAGAGCUAAAAAGUUUGGACCUAAUAAACGAAAUUGAGCGGCCAGCGGAGAUUCCAGAUGGUGGAUUGUUGUGUGAUCUGUUGUGGGCUGAUCCUGAUCCUAGAAUUAAGGGUUGGUCAGAUAGUGAUCGAGGUGUUUCUUGUACUUUUGGACCGGAUGUAGUUGCUGAAUUUUUGGCUAAGAAUGAGUUAGACCUCAUCUGCCGGGGUCAUCAGGUGGUGGAAGAUGGA
rnacentral:misc_RNA from 1 species